AGAAAAAUUGUUCACGAAUGCUAAUCAGCACAAAGCAAAAUAUAACAAUGAGGAUAAUAAGGUAAGGAUGAUUGCCGUUGGAGUUGGCUCCGGCAUCGACUACAGUGAACUCAAUGAGAUUGCUAAUGGAAAAAUGGCGAAUGUUAUCCAUGUUGACAAGUUCGAGGAUCUCUUCGUGCGACUGAACACCGUGCUUCGAGCUUCAUGUGAAGCCAACUAAAAAUUACCAUCACUAGUUCAAUCACUUAAAAACAGAAUCAAGACACAACGCAAUGGAUAAUAUUCAUGUCAAAAAGUUUCAAUAAAAUGUUCUUCAGGCAGAU